rnacentral:rRNA from 1 species
CAGUAGCGUAUAUUUAUGUUGUUGCAGUUAAAAAGCUCGUAGUUGGAUAUCUGAUUUGAGUGGCCCAUCGUGUUGUAUCGGUCUUUGUUACUGAUCUACAUUGUAUGUUGGCAUUUCUCAAUCAUCUGUUUAUCUCAUCCCGCACCAUGUACUUUAUUGUAUGUGUGUACGGUGUAUGGUUAAACCAUUUACUUUGAAAAAUCGGAGUGUUUAAAGCAGGAUGUAGUGUCCUUUGAACAGAUUAGCAUGGAAUAAUAAUAUAGGACUUUUGUUCUAUUUUGUUGGUUUCCUGAACGGAAGUAAUGAUUGAUAGGAAUGGUUUGGGGGUGCUUGUAUUCCAUGGCCAGAGGUGAAAUUCUUGGAUUCAUGGAAGACAAACUUAUGCGAAAGCAUUCACCAAGGACAUUUUCUUUAAUCAAGAACGAAAGUUGGGGAUCGAAGACGAUCAGAUACCAU